rnacentral:tRNA from 1 species
GUUUUCGUAGUGUAGUGGUUAUCACGUGUGCUUCACACGCACAAGGUCCCCCGUUCGAACCCGGCCGAAAACA